rnacentral:tRNA from 1 species
CAAUAAAUAGUUUAAUAAAAAUAUAAUGUUUGGGUCAUUAAGAUAAUUUUGUUGA